rnacentral:piRNA from 1 species
UAGGGAUUUGGGAAAGCCUUUCAAUCUUCC